rnacentral:tRNA from 1 species
GGCCUGAUGGUCUAGUGGUAUGAUUCUUGCUUUGGGAACAGUUGACUGUUCGAGUAUGCAAGAGGUCCCGAGUUCGAUCCUUGGUCAGGCCC